GGCUGCGCCCGCGGGAGCGCGGAGCCGCCUGAGCAGGCGCGCAAAUAAAGACUGCACCUGGGGCCACCACCUUAAAGUGGGCAGAACUUGCCUCUCCUGCUCCAGCACUUUUUAAACUUUUUUUUUUCCCCCUCCCCUUGUUUUUUUUUUUUUUUCCUUUUUGUGCACGAAGCGCACCUCCGCGGACGGCUCAGCUCCUCUCCCCGCUCUCCUCCUCCCUUAUAACACCCCUUAUAACACCCCUUCCCUUUGCCCUCGCUGGUGGGGCACGACAACCAAGCGUGCUGUGCAACCCCACUGCAGGAACGCUGGCGUUCAGCUGCUGUUCCGCUUGCUCUGGAAUUCUGGUCAACGGAAGGAAGAACAAGAAGAGAACACACAGGCCCUGAAAGUCUUUACUUACCAGCUGGGUUCAGUUCCCAUCUCCAUACCUUUUUUUUUUUUUUGGCUUAAAGUUAAGUAAAACAGUUGCAAGAUGGGAAUUGUACCUAAUUAACAGAGGGACGAAGAUGGGCAAUAACACAACUGAGCUGAGCUGGAUGCCCAGGGAAACAGACAGCGAGGGAAAGCUAAAGUUGCCAACCCAUUUAGUAGUUAUUUCUGAGAUGAAUCUCAACUCCCUACCUAAAAUCAGUUCCACUCAGCAGAGCUGAGCUUCGGAUACCCUCUGCUGUCUGCACCACUGACCUUACAGCCCUUCGUGUCCCCU
ensembl:lncRNA